AUGAGAACGAUCAAGCUCUGUCCAAGUAGCGCCCCGUGUACUGGAAACCAAAAAAAAACGAUCCAUGCCGUACUAUAUCCUGCACGGCCACUCACGGACCCGUUCAACCCACGGCACAGCACGCCCUCCCGGGUUCCGGCAACGUCGCCGUCAACCGGCGGUGAAAGAGAGAGGGCGACCCGGAGCCCGACAUGGACGAAGCAAAAUAAUGGAUCACGGAUCGCCGGCGACGCGGCACGGCGGAAGCGAGCCGAGUCCACUGCCCGCACUGCCGGCUGCCGUCCCCGCGGCGAAGAACGAGUCCGGACUCCUCCGUGCCCGACACAGACCGCCCGGGAACAAAACGAGCGCACUACAAACCCUGCCCACGCGGCCGUAGAAAAUCCACCCCCGUUCCGUUCCGUUCCCGCACAGGCCAGACCUGGCUGA
rnacentral:rRNA from 1 species